rnacentral:rRNA from 1 species
UACGAAGGGAGCUAGCGUUGUUCGGAAUCACUGGGCGUAAAGCGCGCGUAGGCGGUCCUGCAAGUCGGGGGUGAAAGCCCGAGGCUCAACCUCGGAACUGCCUUCGAUACUGCGGGUCUCGAGUCCGGGAGAGGUGAGUGGAAUUCCUAGUGUAGAGGUGAAAUUCGUAGAUAUUAGGAAGAACACCAGUGGCGAAGGCGGCUCACUGGCCCGGUACUGACGCUGAGGCGCGAAAGCGUGGGGAGCAAACAGG